ACUCCUACGGGAGGCAGCAGUGGGGAAUAUUGCACAAUGGGCGCAAGCCUGAUGCAGCCAUGCCGCGUGUGUGAAGAAGGCCUUCGGGUUGUAAAGCACUUUCAGUCGUGAGGAAGGUAGUGUAGUUAAUAGCUGCAUUAUUUGUACGUUAGCGACAGAAGAAGCACCGGCUAACUCCGUGCCAGCAGCCGCGGUAAUACGGAGGGUGCGAGCGUUAAUCGGAAUUACUGGGCGUAAAGCGCAUGCAGGUUGGUUUGUUAAGUCAGAUGUGAAAGCCCGGGGCUCAACCUCGGAAUAGCAUUUGAAACUGGCAGACUAGAGUACUGUAGAGGGGGUUAGAAUUUCAGGUGUAGCGGUGAAAUGCGUAGAGAUCUGAAGGAAUACCGGUGGCGAAGGCGGCCCCUGGACAGAUACUGACACUCAGAUGCGAAAGCGUGGGAGCAAA
rnacentral:rRNA from 1 species